rnacentral:lncRNA from 10 species
ACCACGCCCAGCUGAUUUUUGUAUUUUUAGUAAAGACUUUCGCCAUGUUGUCCAGGCUGGUCUCGAACUCCUGGCCUAAUGAUCUGCCCACCUCUGCCUCCCAAAGUGCUGGGAUCACAGGCAUGAGCCACCGAACCCAGCCUUAUUCUGCUUAAAUUUAACGUGUUUUUUGACUUCUUAAUUAACUUGGUCAUAUACUAAAUGUGAUCUCCUGUGGAUUACCACAUGCAUUAAAAAAUUUUUCAAGCUGGGCCUAGUGGCGCACACCUGCAAUCCCAACACUUUGGGAGGCCAAGAGAGGAAGAUUGCUUGAGCCCAGGAGUUUGAGACCAAUCUAGGCAAUGUAGUGAGACCCUGUCUCUAAUUUAAAAAAGAAAAAGAAAAAAACAUUCCCAGUGGCAGCCUGCCUAAGACUGUCUUACCUUAUGUUAAGGAAGUCAGGUAUUUAAAAUGUUACAUAUGCCGGCGCAGUGGCUCAUGUGUGUAAUCCCAGCACUCUGGGAGGCUGAGACAGGCGGGUGGAUCACAAGGUCAAGAGAUCGAGACCAUCCUGGCCAACAUGGUGAAACCCUGUCUCUAUUAAAAAUACAAAAAUUAGCUGGGCGUGGUGGCGCAUGCCUGUAGUCCCAACUACUAGGGAGGCUGAGGCAGGAGAAUCACUUGAACCCAGGAGGUGGAGGUUGCAGUGAGCCGAGAUCACGCCACUGCACUCCAGCCUGGCGACAGAGCGAGACUCCCUCUCAAAAAAAAAAAAAAAAAUACAAAAAAUUAGCCGGGCAUUGUGGUGCAUGCCUGUAAUCUCAGCUAUUUGGGAGGCCGAGGCAGGAGAAUCACUUGAACCCAGGAGGCAGAGGUUGCAGUGAGUCGAGAUCGUGCCACUGCACUCCAGCCUGGGUGACAGAGCAAGACUUUGUCUCAAAAAUAAUAAUAGUAAAAUGUUACAUGUGCAUGAAGUUUUAAAUUACUCAUUUUUAUUAAUGAAGAAAAUAAGGUAGUUUAGACAUUCCAAGAGUUAACUAUAGUUUACAAAAAUAUAUUAAGC